UCCAUUUGUUAUCGUGUUUCCGAGCCCUCUCUUCUUCUCUGCAACCGAUGUCAUCGCCCUCGAUGUCGCCGAACGAAGGCUAUCACCUCCCAAUCUCCUCCACUGCACCUUAGAUGCUGUGCACUUGGACCCACUGUAGCUCAACUCUCAGAUCUGCCACCCAUUGCAGCUUAGACUCAGAUCCACCAUGAAUCUCAACCAGCCUCUCAGAUUCGCUUUCGAGAUUUGGACUGUUUGGUUUGAAGUUAAUGUUGCUUUGAGGUUGUAUGUCGCAGUAGAUAUUCUUCUGGGGAAUAUGCUUUGUUUGGCUUGAAGUUUAUGCCGGUUCAAGCAUGGAGACAAGGAACAUGAAGGAUGCUUACAAAUUAUUCUAAAG